rnacentral:lncRNA from 1 species
UCCAUCUUGGGAGGUCUUCCAGGAGAAUCUGGAGUACUACUUCUCAUUGAGGGUGUAGUGAAGAUUCCUCUUCAGGGGUGGGUUCCACUAAGCUGUACUCUGGGUCCUUCUGAUGCUAAAAUUCUGUGAUUCACCCUCUCUACUCCUAGGCCUUUAUGAAUAGCUUCUCUCGGGCUGUGGCCUUGGAAUACCAGUCCUCUGGAGUUAUCAUACAGGGCUUGUUGCUGUGGCCCCUGAACUCCAACUUCAAAUUCAUCAUCCCGACUCUGAUGUUCUUCUACUCUCUGCUCAGUGCAUCCAGAAGUUCCUGAAGAAGUUGUGGGAAGGAGGUCCCCUUUGAGGAGAAACCCCAGCCCUGAGAAGCUGUAGCUGUAACUUGUUAUAAUAAAUUGGUUUCUCUUUAGCCA